rnacentral:lncRNA from 1 species
AGCGAAGAUUGGAACACCACGAUAAUGAUGCGACGGUGGCGGAAUUCCAAAAUUUCGGCGGCGACGAUAGAUAUUCGGCCCGGGCCAAGAAACUUUGCAAGCCCGCAGAAAUUCUGGGCCUGGGGCCUACUGAAAGUCUUGGGCUGAGCUUGGUUUGGGCUUCAAGAAUUUCGCUGGGCUUUGCUGAACUCAACUGGGCUUGGGCUGGAAAUAGCUGGGCUGAUCGAAGAUGGGCUGAGGACGGGCCCAACUGCUGGGCCAAAAUCCACGUGGGCUGCAGGAUGAAGACUCGCUAGAUUGCUGGCCGUGCGAAGAUGGACGACCGACAGCAGCCUCGGCGGAUCGUUGGACGAAGACGGUGGACUGCUCAGUGGAAUCGUGGGCGAUGGAGUCAACUUCGGCCGAAUGGUUUCGCUGGAGUCUUGACCGAAAGAAGCAGGAUGAUGCGUGGGGCUGCAGCAGAUGAAGACACGAGGACGCCGAUUUGAUUCUGUGGUCAAAGAUGCAACUUCGGUGGGGAUGCUAGCGACACGAAGAGAAACAGGGCAAUCGGUGGACUUUGGCUGCAGAGAAACGUGGAGUGGCAGGCAGCAGCACGUGAAGGGAGAACUCGGUGGAAGUGCCGCGCGUGAGAUGAGCUGCAGGGGCGCACGAUGGAGUUCGGUGGAGUGGCAAGCUGACGAUGGUGAUGGCGGUGGAGCAGGGAUCCGAAAAGAGAAAUGAAAGCAACGCCAAAACAGAAGCAGCUGCUGGCGCCAGGGAUUGAACGGUGGUCAACUUCGGUGAUCUUCCAUGCUAGCUUGUUGACCGGAGGGGGGCACGAUCUGGUGGAAGCUUGGACGCGGCAGUGGCUGGGUUGUUUUCGGUGAAGGAAGAAGCAAAAUUGAGGGAGCCGAGGGAGAGAAC